AUGAACGCUGGCGGCGUGCCUAAUACAUGCAAGUCGAGCGAACGGACGAGAAGCUUGCUUCUCUGAUGUUAGCGGCGGACGGGUGAGUAACACGUGGAUAACCUACCUAUAAGACUGGGAUAACUUCGGGAAACCGGAGCUAAUACCGGAUAAUAUUUUGAACCGCAUGGUUCAAAAGUGAAAGACGGUCUUGCUGUCACUUAUAGAUGGAUCCGCGCUGCAUUAGCUAGUUGGUAAGGUAACGGCUUACCAAGGCAACGAUGCAUAGCCGACCUGAGAGGGUGAUCGGCCACACUGGAACUGAGACACGGUCCAGACUCCUACGGGAGGCAGCAGUAGGGAAUCUUCCGCAAUGGGCGAAAGCCUGACGGAGCAACGCCGCGUGAGUGAUGAAGGUCUUCGGAUCGUAAAACUCUGUUAUUAGGGAAGAACAUAUGUGUAAGUAACUGUGCACAUCUUGACGGUACCUAAUCAGAAAGCCACGGCUAACUACGUGCCAGCAGCCGCGGUAAUACGUAGGUGGCAAGCGUUAUCCGGAAUUAUUGGGCGUAAAGCGCGCGUAGGCGGUUUUUUAAGUCUGAUGUGAAAGCCCACGGCUCAACCGUGGAGGGUCAUUGGAAACUGGAAAACUUGAGUGCAGAAGAGGAAAGUGGAAUUCCAUGUGUAGCGGUGAAAUGCGCAGAGAUAUGGAGGAACACCAGUGGCGAAGGCGACUUUCUGGUCUGUAACUGACGCUGAUGUGCGAAAGCGUGGGGAUCAAACAGGAUUAGAUACCCUGGUAGUCCACGCCGUAAACGAUGAGUGCUAAGUGUUAGGGGGUUUCCGCCCCUUAGUGCUGCAGCUAACGCAUUAAGCACUCCGCCUGGGGAGUACGACCGCAAGGUUGAAACUCAAAGGAAUUGACGGGGACCCGCACAAGCGGUGGAGCAUGUGGUUUAAUUCGAAGCAACGCGAAGAACCUUACCAAAUCUUGACAUCCUUUGACAACUCUAGAGAUAGAGCUUUCCCCUUCGGGGGACAAAGUGACAGGUGGUGCAUGGUUGUCGUCAGCUCGUGUCGUGAGAUGUUGGGUUAAGUCCCGCAACGAGCGCAACCCUUAAGCUUAGUUGCCAUCAUUAAGUUGGGCACUCUAAGUUGACUGCCGGUGACAAACCGGAGGAAGGUGGGGAUGACGUCAAAUCAUCAUGCCCCUUAUGAUUUGGGCUACACACGUGCUACAAUGGACAAUACAAAGGGCAGCGAAACCGCGAGGUCAAGCAAAUCCCAUAAAGUUGUUCUCAGUUCGGAUUGUAGUCUGCAACUCGACUACAUGAAGCUGGAAUCGCUAGUAAUCGUAGAUCAGCAUGCUACGGUGAAUACGUUCCCGGGUCUUGUACACACCGCCCGUCACACCACGAGAGUUUGUAACACCCGAAGCCGAAAGGGUAACCUUUUAGGAGCUAGCCGUCGAAGGUGGGAC
rnacentral:rRNA from 1 species